rnacentral:lncRNA from 1 species
UGAGUAUGAGUAUGAAUUGUGUUGGUAUUGAGUAUGAUAAUUGGGCUGAUGUGCCGUUACUGAACGUGUGAUAUGAUUAGGGUGAUUAAUGUGUUGAAUUACUUAACAUGACAUGAUAUUUUAUAAUGCUUAUUAUAUCGAUUGAGGAACUCACCCUUACAACUAUUUUUCAGGUAACGAGCAAUGAGUUGAGUAGAAGCUAAUGCUUGGAGUCUAGUGUAGUCUUCUUAGUGGGUCAUGCUCUGAUAGAUGUAAC